GCCAGGUGUGGUGGCGUGUACCUGUAAUCCCAGCUACUCAGGGGGCUGAGGCAGGAGGAUUGCUUGAGCCCAGGAGUUGAGGUUGCAGUGAGCUAUGGUGUUGCCACUGCACUCCAGCCUGGGUAACAGAGAGAGACCUUGUCUUAA
rnacentral:SRP_RNA from 1 species